GAUGAACGCUGGCGGCGUGCUUAACACAUGCAAGUCGAACGGGAAAUAUUUCAUUGAGACUUCGGUGGAUUUGAUUUAUUUCUAGUGGCGGCCGGGUGAGUAACGCGUGGGUAACCUGCCUUAUACAGGGGGAUAACAGUCAGAAAUGGCUGCUAAUACCGCAUAAGCGCACAGAGCUGCAUGGCUCAGUGUGAAAAACUCCGGUGGUAUAAGAUGGACCCGCGUUGGAUUAGCUAGUUGGUGGGGUAACGGCCCACCAAGGGGACGAUCCAUAGCCGGCCAGAGAGGGAGGACGGACACAUUGGGGCUGGGCAACAGCCCAGAAUCCUACGGGAGGGAGGAGUGGGGAAUAUUGCACAAUGGGGGAAACCCUGAUGCAGCGACGCCGCGUGAAGGAAGAAGUAUCUCGGUAUGUAAACUUCCAUCAGCAGGGAAGAUAGUGACGGUACCUGACUAAGAAGCCCCGGCUAACUACGUG
rnacentral:rRNA from 1 species